CCUACGGGAGGCAGCAGUGGGGAAUAUUGCGCAAUGGGCGAAAGCCUGACGCAGCGACGCCGCGUGAGGGAUGAAGGUCUUCGGAUCGUAAACCUCUGUCAGCAGGGAAGAACGGUCACUGUGCUAAUCAGCAGUGAAUUGACGGUACCUGCAAAGUAAGCACCGGCUAACUCCGUGCCAGCAGCCGCGGGAAUACGGAGGGUGCGAGCGUUAAUCGGAAUUACUGGGCGUAAAGCGCUCGUAGUCGGUAUGUCAAGUCAAGGGUGAAAGCCCCGCGCUCAACGUGGGAACUGCCUUUGAAACUGGCAAACUGGAGUGUGUGAGAGGAUAGUGGAAUUCCAGGUGUAGGAGUGAAAUCCGUAGAUAUCUGGAGGAACAUCAGUGGCGAAGGCGACUAUCUGGCACAUAACUGACGCUGAGGAGCGAAAGCGUGGGUAGCAAACAGGAUUAGAUACCCUGGUAGUC
rnacentral:rRNA from 1 species